GAUGAACGCUGGCGGCGUGCCUAAUACAUGCAAGUCGAGCGAACAGACGAGGAGCUUGCUCCUCUGACGUUAGCGGCGGACGGGUGAGUAACACGUGGAUAACCUACCUAUAAGACUGGGAUAACUUCGGGAAACCGGAGCUAAUACCGGAUAAUAUAUUGAACCGCAUGGUUCAAUAGUGAAAGACGGUUUUGCUGUCACUUAUAGAUUGAUCCGCGCCGCAUUAGCUAGUUGGUAAGGUAACGGCUUACCAAGGCAACGAUGCGUAGCCGACCUGAGUGGGUGAUCGGCCACACUGGAACUGAGACACGGUCCAGACUCCUACGGGAGGCAGCAGUAGGGAAUCUUCCGCAAUGGGCGAAAGCCUGACGGAGCAACGCCGCGUGAGUGAUGAAGGUCUUCGGAUCGUAAAACUCUGUUAUUAGGGAAGAACAAAUGUGUAAGUAACUAUGCACGUCUUGACGGUACCUAAUCAGAAAGCCACGGCUAACUACGUG
rnacentral:rRNA from 1 species